UGGUUCUGGCAUCGAUGAAGAACGCAGCGAAAUGCGAUAAGUAGUGUGAAUUGCAGAAUUCAGUGAAUCAUCGAAUCUUUGAACGCACAUUGCGCCCCUUGGUAUUCCAUGGGGCAUGCCUGUUCGAGCGUCAUUUGUACUCUCAAGCUUUGCUUGGUGUUGGGCGUUUUGUCUUUUUAUCAAGACUCGCCUUAAAGUAAUUGGCAGCCAGUGUUUUGGUAGUAAGCGCAGCACAUUUUGCGUCUUAGUUCUUUAACAACGGCAUCCAUAAAGCCUCUUUCUCACUUUUGACCUCGGAUCAGGUAGGGAUACCCGCUGA
rnacentral:misc_RNA from 1 species